CAUGCAAGUCGAGGGGCAGCAUGAUUGAAGCUUGCUUCAAUUGAUGGCGACCGGCGCACGGGUGAGUAACGCGUAUCCAACCUUCCGUACACUCAGGGAUAGCCUUUCGAAAGAAAGAUUAAUACCUGAUGGUAUGAUGAGAUUGCAUGAUAGCAUCAUUAAAGAUUUAUCGGUGUACGAUGGGGAUGCGUUCCAUUAGGUAGUAGGCGGGGUAACGGCCCACCUAGCCUACGAUGGAUAGGGGUUCUGAGAGGAAGGUCCCCCACAUUGGAACUGAGACACGGUCCAAACUCCUACGGGAGGCAGCAGUGAGGAAUAUUGGUCAAUGGACGAGAGUCUGAACCAGCCAAGUAGCGUGAAGGAUGAAGGUCUUACGGAUUGUAAACUUCUUUUAUAAGGGAAUAAAACCUCCCACGUGUGGGAGCUUGUAUGUACCUUAUGAAUAAGCAUCGGCUAACUCCGUGCCAGCAGCCGCGGUAAUACGGAGGAUGCGAGCGUUAUCCGGAUUUAUUGGGUUUAAAGGGAGCGCAGACGGGUCGUUAAGUCAGCUGUGAAAGUUUGGGGCUCAACCUUAAAAUUGCAGUUGAUACUGGCGUCCUUGAGUGCGGUUGAGGUGUGCGGAAUUCGUGGUGUAGCGGUGAAAUGCUUAGAUAUCACGAAGAACUCCGAUUGCGAAGGCAGCACACUAAGCCGUAACUGACGUUCAUGCUCGAAAGUGUGGGUAUCAAACAGGAUUAGAUACCCUGGUAGUCCACACGGUAAACGAUGGAUACUCGCUGUUGGCGAUAUACGGUCAGCGGCUUAGCGAAAGCGUUAAGUAUCCCACCUGGGGAGUACGCCGGCGACGGUGAAACUCAA
rnacentral:rRNA from 1 species